rnacentral:rRNA from 1 species
UACAGAGGUCUCAAGCGUUGUUCGGAUUCAUCGGGCGUAAAGGGUGUGUAGGUGGCGCGCUAAGUCGGGUGUGAAAUUUCGGAGCUUAACUCCGAAACUGCAUUCGAUACUGGCGUGCUUGAGGACUGGAGAGGAGACUGGAAUUCAUGGUGUAGCAGUGAAAUGCGUAGAGAUCAUGAGGAAGACCAGUGGCGAAGGCGGGUCUCUGGACAGUUCCUGACACUUAGACACGAAGGCCAGGGGAGCAAACGGG